rnacentral:rRNA from 1 species
CGUACGAUACGAGUUUGAUCAUGGCUUAGGAUGAACGCUAGCGGCAGGCUUAAUACAUGCAAGUCAAGGGGGUAGCAAUACAACCGGCGCACGGGUGAGUAACACGUACACAACAUACCAUAUACUGAGGUAUAGCUUCGGGAAACUGAAGGUAAUCCCUCAUAGUAUUGUGAAAGGGCAUCUUUUUACAAUUAAAGUUUCGACGGUAUAUGAUUGGUGUGCGUUUGAUUAGCUAGUUGGUAGGUAACGGCCUACCAAGGCAACGAUCAAUAGCUGGCGUGAGAGCGCGACCAGCCACACUGGAACUGAGACACGGUCCAGACUCCUACGGGAGGCAGCAGUAGGGAAUAUUGGACAAUGGGCGAAAGCCUGAUCCAGCCAUGCCGCGUGAUAGAUGAAGGCCCUCUGGGUUGUAAAUAUCUUUUAUCUGGGAAGAAACACUUCUAUUCUUAGAAGCUUGACGGUACCAGAGGAAUAAGCACCGGCUAACUCCGUG